rnacentral:rRNA from 1 species
UAGUGAGUUUGAUCCUGGCUCAGAACGAACGCUGGCGGCAUGCCUAACACAUGCAAGUCGAACGAGACCUUCGGUCUAGUGGCGCACGGGUGCGUAACGCGUGGAAUCUGCCCUUGGGUUCGGAAUAACAGUUAGAAAUGACUGCUAAUACCGGAUGAUGACGUAAGGUCCAAAGAUUUAUCGCCCAAGGAUGAGCCCGCGUAAGAUUAGCUUGUUGGUGAGGUAAAGGCUCACCAAGGCGACGAUCUUUAGCUGGUCUGAGAGGAUGAUCAGCCACACUGGGACUGAGACCACGGCCCAGACUCCGUACGGGAGGCAGCAGUGGGGUAAUAUUGGACAAUGGGCGAAAGCCUGAUCCAGCAAUGCCGCGUGAGUGAUGAACGGUCC